GGACAUGGGUGUGCUUGGCAGUGGCCUGCCUGCCGCCAAGAAGCCACUCUCUCCAGGGCAUUUCUUCCUGGGAAGGGAAUCAACACAACCUGAGGACCCACAGCACCCAAGAGCAUCCUGCUUCCACACAACAAGUGGGGAAAAUGCUGUUUGGAGACCAGCUCGGAUGGAAAUCAGCCAAUUGAACUCAAAAAGCGAUGGAGGGAACUAAAAGUGAGACAGCUCUCUCCAGGAGGCAGGAGAGAAAAAGAGGGUCGAUGGUCUCCAGGGCGGGGACGGUGGCCAGGGGCUCCGGGAAGCG